rnacentral:rRNA from 1 species
GACGAACGCUGGCGGCGUGCUUAACACAUGCAAGUCGAACGGAAAGGCCCUGCUUUUGUUGGGUGCUCGAGUGGCGAACGGGUGAGUAACACGCGAGUAACCUGCCCUUGUCUUUGGGAUAACUUCUGGAAACUGGGGCUAAUACCGGAUAGGAGCUCCUGCUGCAUGGUGGGGGUUGGUAAGUUUCGGCGGUUGGGGAUGGACUCGCAGCUUAUGAGCUUGUUUGUGGGGUAGUGGCUUACCAAGGCUUUGAAGGGUAGGCUGCCUGAGAGGGGGAACGGCCACAUUGGGACUGAGAUACGGACCAGAGUGCUACGGGAGGCAGCAGGGGGGAAUAUUGCGCAAUGGGCGGAAGCCUGAUGCAGCAACGCCGCGUGCGGGAUGACGGCCUUCGGGUUGUAAACAGCUUUCGCCUGUGACGAAGCGUGAGUGACGGUAAUGGGUAAAGAAGCAACGGCUAACUACGUG